UUUUAAAAGCGGCAGAAAUCUAGGACUGACACCAGCAAACGAUAAUAGUCUUAGAACUUCAGAUCUUGACAGGGAGGCAGUGAGAGGUACUGUGGGACACAUAAGAAGUUCAUCUAUGGUUGGCUCAAAACCUGCUCUUCACAGCAGAGAACAUGGCAGCUACAUGUACGGGAGGAGUCUGUACAAUCUGCCCCUGCCUUUCUGGAAGGAGCUUUUGAUAGAGAGGACAGUCGUUGCUGUGCAGAGGUUGCUCACUUUAACUGCUUUCAAGCCUCACCAAUUCCUCCUCCUUUU